GUGGGGAAUAUUGGACAAUGGGCGAAAGCCUGAUCCAGCAAUGCCGCGUGAGUGAUGAAGGCCUUAGGGUUGUAAAGCUCUUUUACCCGGGAUGAUAAUGACAGUACCGGGAGAAUAAGCUCCGGCUAACUCCGUGCCAGCAGCCGCGGUAAUACGGAGGGAGCUAGCGUUGUUCGGAAUUACUGGGCGUAAAGCGCACGUAGGCGGCUUUGUAAGUUAGAGGUGAAAGCCUGGAGCUUAACUCCAGAACUGCCUUUAAGACUGCAUCGCUUGAAUCCAGGAGAGGUGAGUGGAAUUCCGAGUGUAGAGGUGAAAUUCGUAGAUAUUCGGAAGAACACCAGUGGCGAAGGCGGCUCACUGGACUGGUAUUGACGCUGAGGUGCGAAAGCGUGGGGAGCAAACAGGAUUAGAAACCCCAGUAGUCC
rnacentral:rRNA from 1 species